GGUUAAGUUAGAAAGGGCGCACGGUGGAUGCCUUGGCACUAGGAGCCGAUGAAGGACGGGACGAACACCGAUAUGCUUCGGGGAGCUGUAAGCAAGCUUUGAUCCGGAGAUUUCCGAAUGGGGAAACCCACCACUCGUAAUGGAGUGGUAUCCAUAUCUGAAUACAUAGGAUAUGAGAAGGCAGACCGGGGAACUGAAACAUCUAAGUACCCGGAGGAAGAGAAAGCAAAUGCGAUUCCCUGAGUAGCGGCGAGCGAAACGGGACCAGCCCAAACCAAGAGGCUUGCCUCUUGGGGUUGUAGGACACUCUGUACGGAGUUACAAAGGAACGAGGUAGAUGAAGAGGUCUGGAAAGGCCCGCCAUAGGAGGUAACAGCCCUGUAGUCAAAACUUCGUUCUCUCCUGAGUGGAUCCUGAGUACGGCGGAACACGUGAAAUUCCGUCGGAAUCCGGGAGGACCAUCUCCCAAGGCUAAAUACUCCCUAGUGACCGAUAGUGAACCAGUACCGUGAGGGAAAGGUGAAAAGCACCCCGGAAGGGGAGUGAAAGAGAUCCUGAAACCGUGUGCCUACAAGUAGUCAGAGCCCGUUAACGGGUGAUGGCGUGCCUUUUGUAGAAUGAACCGGCGAGUUACGAUCCCGUGCAAGGUUAAGCAGAAGAUGCGGAGCCGCAGCGAAAGCGAGUCUGAAUAGGGCGAAUUGAGUACGUGGUCGUAGACCCGAAACCAGGUGAUCUACCCAUGUCCAGGGUGAAGUUCAGGUAACACUGAAUGGAGGCCCGAACCCACGCACGUUGAAAAGUGCGGGGAUGAGGUGUGGGUAGGGGUGAAAUGCCAAUCGAACCUGGAGAUAGCUGGUUCUCUCCGAAAUAGCUUUAGGGCUAGCCUCAAGGUAAGAGUCUCGGAGGUAGAGCACUGAUUGGACUAGGGGCCCCUACCGGGUUACCGAAUUCAGUCAAACUCCGAAUGCCGAUGACUUAUCCUUGGGAGUCAGACUGCGAGUGAUAAGAUCCGUAGUCGAAAGGGAAACAGCCCAGACCGCCAGCUAAGGUCCCAAAGUAUACGUUAAGUGGAAAAGGAUGUGGAGUUGCUUAGACAACCAGGAUGUUGGCUUAGAAGCAGCCACCAUUUAAAGAGUGCGUAAUAGCUCACUGGUCGAGUGACUCUGCGCCGAAAAUGUACCGGGGCUAAACGUAUCACCGAAGCUGCGGACUGUUCUUCGAACAGUGGUAGGAGAGCGUUCUAAGGGCUGUGAAGCAAGACCGGAAGGACUUGUGGAGCGCUUAGAAGUGAGAAUGCCGGUAUGAGUAGCGAAAGAGGGGUGAGAAUCCCCUCCACCGAAUGCCUAAGGUUUCCUGAGGAAGGCUCGUCCGCUCAGGGUUAGUCGGGACCUAAGCCGAGGCCGAAAGGCGUAGGCGAUGGAUAACAGGUUGAUAUUCCUGUACCACCUCCUCACCAUUUGAGCAAUGGGGGGACGCAGGAGGAUAGGGUAAGCGCGGUAUUGGAUAUCCGCGUCCAAGCAGUUAGGCUGGGAAAUAGGCAAAUCCGUUUCCCGUGAAGGCUGAGCUGUGAUGGCGAGCGAAUUAUAGUAGCGAAGUUCCUGAUUCCACACUGCCAAGAAAAGCCUCUAGCGAGGUGAGAGGUGCCCGUACCGCAAACCGACACAGGUAGGCGAGGAGAGAAUCCUAAGGUGAUCGAGAGAACUCUCGUUAAGGAACUCGGCAAAAUGACCCCGUAACUUCGGGAGAAGGGGUGCUCUGUUAGGGUGCAAGCCCGAGAGAGCCGCAGUGAAUAGGCCCAGGCGACUGUUUAGCAAAAACACAGGUCUCUGCGAAGCCGUAAGGCGAAGUAUAGGGGCUGACGCCUGCCCGGUGCUGGAAGGUUAAGAGGAGCGCUUAGCGUAAGCGAAGGUGCGAAUUGAAGCCCCAGUAAACGGCGGCCGUAACUAUAACGGUCCUAAGGUAGCGAAAUUCCUUGUCGGGUAAGUUCCGACCCGCACGAAAGGCGCAACGAUCUGGGCACUGUCUCAACGAGAGACUCGGUGAAAUUAUAGUACCUGUGAAGAUGCAGGUUACCCGCGACAGGACGGAAAGACCCCGUGGAGCUUUACUGCAGCCUGAUAUUGAAUGUUGGUACAGCUUGUACAGGAUAGGUAGGAGCCUUGGAAACCGGAGCGCCAGCUUCGGUGGAGGCAUCGGUGGGAUACUACCCUGGCUGUAUUGACCUUCUAACCCGCCGCCCUUAUCGGGCGGGGAGACAGUGUCAGGUGGGCAGUUUGACUGGGGCGGUCGCCUCCUAAAAGGUAACGGAGGCGCCCAAAGGUUCCCUCAGAAUGGUUGGAAAUCAUUCGCAGAGUGUAAAGGCACAAGGGAGCUUGACUGCGAGACCUACAAGUCGAGCAGGGACGAAAGUCGGGCUUAGUGAUCCGGUGGUUCCGCAUGGAAGGGCCAUCGCUCAACGGAUAAAAGCUACCCCGGGGAUAACAGGCUUAUCUCCCCAAGAGUCCACAUCGACGGGGAGGUUUGGCACCUCGAUGUCGGCUCAUCGCAUCCUGGGGCUGUAGUCGGUCCCAAGGGUUGGGCUGUUCGCCCAUUAAAGCGGUACGCGAGCUGGGUUCAGAACGUCGUGAGACAGUUCGGUCCCUAUCCGUCGCGGGCGCAGGAAAUUUGAGAGGAGCUGUCCUUAGUACGAGAGGACCGGGAUGGACGCACCGCUGGUGUACCAGUUGUUCUGCCAAGGGCAUCGCUGGGUAGCUAUGUGCGGACGGGAUAAGUGCUGAAAGCAUCUAAGCAUGAAGCCCCCCUCAAGAUGAGAUUUCCCAUUCCGCAAGGAAGUAAGAUCCCUGAAAGAUGAUCAGGUUGAUAGGUCUGAGGUGGAAGUGUGGCGACACAUGGAGCUGACAGAUACUAAUCGAUCGAGGACUUAACCAA
rnacentral:rRNA from 1 species